GAGAACGAGUCUUUUUGUCACUUAAUGUUUUAAAGUUAAGGCUUUAAAUGACAAAGUAUCUUUCCCAGUCCGAUCGACCUUGACGACAUGGUGGAAAACC
rnacentral:misc_RNA from 1 species